rnacentral:rRNA from 1 species
UGGGGAAUAUUGCACAAUGGGCGAAAGCCUGAUGCAGCGACGCCGCGUGAGGGAUGACGGCCUUCGGGUUGUAAACCUCUUUCAGCAGGGAAGAAGCCACAAGUGACGGUACCUGCAGAAGAAGCGCCGGCUAACUACGUGCCAGCAGCCGCGGUAAUACGUAGGGCGCAAGCGUUGUCCGGAAUUAUUGGGCGUAAAGAGCUCGUAGGCGGUUUGUUGCGUCUGCUGUGAAAGCCCGGGGCUUAACCCCGGGUGUGCAGUGGGUACGGGCAGACUAGAGUGCAGUAGGGGAGACUGGAAUUCCUGGUGUAGCGGUGGAAUGCGCAGAUAUCAGGAGGAACACCGAUGGCGAAGGCAGGUCUCUGGGCUGUUACUGACGCUGAGGAGCGAAAGCAUGGGGAGCGAACA